AUGUGCCACUCGCACACUGUGGGUCCUGACGCGCCGUCCGCACUCACCUGAAGACCACCCGCGAUGUUUUGUUGGCC
rnacentral:sRNA from 1 species